AUUGAACGCUGGUGGCAGGCCUAACACAUGCAAGUCGAGCGGAUGAAGGGAGCUUGCUCCUGGAUUCAGCGGCGGACGGGUGAGCAAUGCCUAGGAAUCUGCCUGGUAGUGGGGGAUAACGUCCGGAAACGGGCGCUAAUACCGCAUACGUCCUGAGGGAGAAAGUGGGGGAUCUUCGGACCUCACGCUAUCAGAUGAGCCUAGGUCGGAUUAGCUAGUUGGUGGGGUAAAGGCCUACCAAGGCGACGAUCCGUAACUGGUCUGAGAGGAUGAUCAGUCACACUGGAACUGAGACACGGUCCAGACUCCUACGGGAGGCAGCAGUGGGGAAUAUUGGACAAAGGGCGAAAGCCUGAUCCAGCCAUGCCGCGUGUGUGAAGAAGGUCUUCGGAUUGUAAAGCACUUUAAGUUGGGAGGAAGGGCAGUAAGUUAAUACCUUGCUGCUUUGACGUUACCAACAGAAUAAGCACCGGCUAACUUCGUG
rnacentral:rRNA from 1 species